rnacentral:rRNA from 1 species
UACAGAGGGGGCAAGCGUUGUUCGGAAUUACUGGGCGUAAAGGGCGCGUAGGCGGCCUGUUAAGUCGAACGUGAAAUCCCCAGGCUCAACCCGGGAACUGCGUCUGAUACUGGAUGGCUUGAAUUCGGGAGAGGGAUGCAGAAUUCCAGGUGUAGCGGUGAAAUGCGUAGAUAUCUGGAGGAAUACCGGUGGCGAAGGCGGCAUCCUGGACCGACAUUGACGCUGAGGAGCGAAAGCUAGGGGAGCAAACGGG